rnacentral:rRNA from 1 species
UACAGAGGUCCCAAGCGUUGUUCGGAUUCACUGGGCGUAAAGGGUGCGUAGGUGGUGAGGUAAGUCGGAUGUGAAAUCUCCGAGCUCAACUCGGAAAUGGCAUUGGAAACUACCUUGCUAGAGGAUUGGAGGGGAGACUGGAAUGCUUGGUGUAGCAGUGAAAUGCGUAGAUAUCAAGCGGAACACCAGUGGCGAAGGCGAGUCUCUGGACAAUUCCUGACACUGAGGCACGAAAGCCGGGGGAGCAAACAGG